CAGCCACAUCACAUUGAAACACCAGUUUGCAUAUAAUCAUCGAAGUUAAGCAACAUUGUGCCUGGUCAGUAGCUAGAUGGGUGACUGCUUGGGAAUACCAGGU